rnacentral:tmRNA from 1 species
GGGGUCGUUAUGGAUUCGACGGGUAUAGUUCGAAUCUGAAUUGCAUACCGUAUGGCGAUACGUUAAAUCGUACAGUUUAAAUUAUAACUGCAAAAAAUAAUACAAACAAUUUCGCAUUAGCUGCCUAAUAAGCGCUUAGCGGAGAUCCAGACGAGUUCUCCCAAGGCUCACUCCUGGGUCCUAUAAUUAAUUGGGAUUACGCUUAUUGCUCCCAUCUGAAGUAACAAGAAGAGACUAAUCAGAUUAGCUAAUCAUGUCUGCCUUGGUUAAUGGCGUUUUGCUUAGUGAAACUUAAAUAAUUAUCCUAUGUAUGUAGACGUUCAGGUGGCGAUAUGCUCGGACGCGGGUUCAAAUCCCGCCGACUCCAUUG